AAGGACACUUUUACCCAGCAUCAUCUAUCUCAAGUGGAGUUAGGAUGGAGGAGGAGAUGUCAAAGAGAUGUAGGAUAAUGAUAGAAGAUCUGAAGGACUUUCAUCUUUUCACGUUAUCAUUAGCCUCCAUCUCUUUGACAUCUCCUCUUUCAUCCUAACUCCACUUGAGAUGGAUGAUGGUGGGCUAAAGUGCCCUUAUCACCCCCGCCCUUCAUAUUU
rnacentral:snoRNA from 1 species